rnacentral:rRNA from 1 species
UACGGAGGAUCCAAGCGUUAUCCGGAAUCAUUGGGUUUAAAGGGUCCGUAGGCGGUUUUGUAAGUCAGUGGUGAAAGCCCAUCGCUCAACGGUGGAACGGCCAUUGAUACUGCAAGACUUGAAUUACUAGGAAGUAACUAGAAUAUGUAGUGUAGCGGUGAAAUGCUUAGAUAUUACAUGAAAUACCAAUUGCGAAGGCAGGUUACUACUAGUUGAUUGACGCUGAUGGACGAAAGCGUGGGGAGCGAACAGG